rnacentral:rRNA from 1 species
UACGGGGGGGCAAGGCGUUGUUCGGAAUUACUGGGCGUAAAGGGCUCGUAGGCGGCCAACUAAGUCGGACGUGAAAUCCCCAGGCUCAACCUGGGAACUGCGUCCGAUACUGGAUGGCUUGAAUUCGGGAGAGGGAUGCAGAAUUCCAGGUGUGAGCGGUGAAAUGCGUAGAUAUCUGGAGGAAUACCGGUGGCGAAGGCGGCAUCCUGGACCGACAUUGACGCUGAGGAACGAAAGCUAGGGAGCAAACGGG